rnacentral:misc_RNA from 1 species
UUCAUUCUGUAUACACUUGAGU